CUUUCAUCGCACAUGAAUCAUCAGUAUUUAAUGCGACUUCGACGAUAGCGAGACGUGGUGUUAUCUCUCAGACUGGUUCCAUUUGAUGGAAAGAUAAUCCCUACAAAAGGGAUUUUCAUUAUCCUCAAUCGGAUAAUGGAAACGGCGGUCAACGAAGAUUCGAAGUUUCGAGUUUUUGCGAUCUCUUGGAGUUUUCAACGAAUUUCUCUAAACGGAGUUAUCUGAUGAGAGCAACGACGAAGUAUCGAAGUUCCGAAGAGACACCGAAUUCAUGAAAAGAAACAUUUCUUCCGAGAAUUAACGUUGAGAAAUUCAUUUUUGGCCAACCAUCGUCUCGUCCCAGACCACUGUGAAUUGACAGUCUGUUGAACACCGACGGUCGCGCAAGAAUGUCGACGCAGAACACGGAAUAUUCAGCUUCGAACAUGCUUCGUUCGGAUAAUGGAUUGCUCGGAUACCAGAGCACUGGAAUAACGGGUGCUUGACUGCACUGCGAUUGAUAUAUCAUGGCUUGCCAGUGGUACCGAUCAUCGCUAUUCCAGCGGGUCAAAUGUCCCAAAACAGACUGUAUUUUAUAUCUGCGAAAUGAGCACCUACUUUAACCCUUAAAUACAUAUUGUUGCCAAUUGUUUACAUUCCAGUUCCACUUAAUUUUAUUCAAAAA